UUUUCUUUUUUUUUUUUUUUUUUGUUUUUUUUUUUUUUUUUUUUUUUUUUUUUUUUUUUUUUUUUUUUUUUUUUUUUCUUUUUAUUUUGUUUUUUUUUUUUUUUUUUUUUUUUUUUUUUUUUUUUUUUUUUUUUUUUUUUUUUUUUCUUUUUUUUUUGGGUUUUUUGUUGUGGUUUUUCUUUAUUUUUUUUUUUUCUUUUUUUUUUUUUUUUUUUUUUUUUUUUUUU
rnacentral:lncRNA from 1 species